GACGAACGCUGGCGGCGUGCUUAACACAUGCAAGUCGAACGAAGUGGCGAACGGGUGAGUAACGCGUAAUCAACCUGCCCUUCCGAGGGGGACAACAGUUGGAAACGACUGCUAAUACCGCAUACUGAAGGAGGGGAUUUCGUCUGAUUAGCUAGUUGGAGGGGUAACGGCCCACCAGGGCGAUGAUCAGUAGCGGGACUGAGAGGAUGACCGGCCCUAUGUGGAAUGGGAAACGGCCCAGAAGCACACGAGAGGCAGCAGGGGGGAAUCGUCCGCAAUGGACGAAAGUCGGACGGAGCAACGCCGCGUGAGUGAUGACGGCCCUCGGGUUGUAAAGCUCUGUUAAUCGGGACGCGGUACCGGAAUAGAAAGCCACGGCUAACUACGUGCCAGCAGCCGCGGUAAUUC
rnacentral:rRNA from 1 species